rfam:Sphingobacteriales bacterium 41-5 SCNpilot_expt_1000_bf_scaffold_6612, whole genome shotgun sequence.
CCUGCGUAAGCCGAAAAGCAGAUUAUUAAAAGAGUAGGCA